rnacentral:tRNA from 1 species
CUCUGGGUGGAGCAGCCUUGUAGCUCGUCGGGCUCAUAAGCCGAAGGUCGUCGGUUCAAAUCCGGCCCCCGCAACCA